AUUGAACGCUGGCGGCAGGCCUAACACAUGCCAGUCGAGCGGAUGAAGGGAGCUUGCUCCUGGAUUCAGCGGCGGACGGGUGAGUAAUGCCUAGGAAUCUGCCUGGUAGUGGGGGAUAACGUCCGGAAACGGGCGCUAAUACCGCAUACGUCCUGAGGGAGAAAGUGGGGGAUCUUCGGACCUCACGCUAUCAGAUGAGCCUAGGUCGGAUUAGCUAGUUGGUGGGGUAGAGGCCUACCAAGGCGACGAUCCGUAACUGGUCUGAGAGGGUGACCAGUCACAUUGGAACUGAGACACGGUCCAGACUCCUACGGGAGGCAGCAGUGGGGAAUAUUGGACAAUGGGCGAAAGCCUGAUCCAGCCAUGCCGCGUGUGUGAAGAAGGUCUUCGGAUUGUAAAGCACUUUAAGUUGGGAGGAAGGGCAGUAAGUUAAUACCUUGCUGUUUUGACGUUACCAACAGAAUAAGCACCGGCUAACUUCGUG
rnacentral:rRNA from 1 species